UAGAAGUAAGAUAUCUUUAGUUAUUACAUUAUAUUGAAGUUGCUUCCAAUUGCACAAGUCCAAUGUCUUCUAAAAUUUAUUUUAGCCCAAUUGCCUCUAUUACACCUUAAGUUACUGCCAUGUAUUCUACUAUCAUGGACACAGAAAUACAGACUCGAGAUCUAACAAGAAGUUCAAGAAGAACUGGCAAGAACUAGAUUAAUCAGAUGAAUACAAGAACAACACCAGAGAGGUGAGCUAGAGCUCCAAGAGAUGUGUUGUCGAGACUGAAGAACUCUUCAGCCUCGAUUCUAAUAUAUACUCCUAUUUAGGAAGCUUCUCAAACAACUUCUACCAACUAGGAAGCUUCUAGAAGGUUCCAGAGACUUGCUUCUAGAAGGUUCUAGAAACUUGUCUCUAGAAGGUUCUAAGGACUAUAUCCCUAAUAUCUUCUACUAACUAAAAAGCUUCUAGAAGAUUCCAGAGACUUGCUUCUAGAAGGUUCUAGAAACUUGUCUCUAGAAGGUUCUCAGGACUAUGUCCCUAACAUCACCCCCUCUUUUAGCUUCGAGGUCUUUGAGAAGCAAUGUUGUUGUUAAUCAGUACCAACGCAAGAAAAUGAAGAUCUGUCGCAUAAUGUCUGCUAUGAACUCCAAUUGUUGUUCACGAGGCAAGUGGUUCAUCGGCCCUUGAAGCCAACGGUAGUGGCCCACUCCUUCAACUUCUGACCAAGCAUGAACUUCCGUGUCCUCAUUGUGAAAUUGUCCUGCAAACACGCCUUCUGGCUGACUAUCGUAAGCAGGCUCGAACUCAAAUACAAUCACCAGUGAUCGGUUACUCGGUAUCCUCCGUCGUCGUCGUGGUGUAGGCGAUUCUUCAUCUCGGGGUCGCCUUCGUGAGCUAGUCGGUUGAGAUAAUCUGACUGACAUAGUAUCUAUCUCUUGGCUAUCCAUAUCAGAAGACCAAACUAUGGCUACUGCAAAAAUUCUACUUUAUCUUGGAGAAAAUAACUACAUCAAUUGCAAAUUUUGGUGGUGCUUUCUCCCUUUCUUAUAUUCUUGGAUGAGCAAGCUUUAGAAGGAAGCUAUCGUCGAACCGGCUUAGGUUUAUGAGGAUAUUGUUGAUGAAACUCCUGUAUCUUUUGCAGCGCAUUGGCGAGAUUUUCAGCUGACUCUCACGUUUGCUCAUUAAUGUUGUAGCCGCUCCAAUGAACAAGGUAUUCUAGGUUGCCCCACCUUUGCCGUGAAUCCAACACCUUUUCAACCUCAUAUUCCUCGUGGUUCUCGAUCUCAAUACUAGGUGGUGGACAUUACACUCUUUUAGGAAAAGACGACUCUCGAUAAGGCUCCAACAGAGAAACAUGAAAGACUAGAUGUACCUUCAUAGAAGCCGGUAAUUCCAGACGGUACGCCACUAGAUUGAUUUGCUUCUGAAUGAUAAAUGGUCCCAAUCUUCGAUAGUUCAACUUAUCACAUGGUCGCUUGGUCUUGAUAUUUCGUCGAAGAAGCCAUGCUUUAUCUCCAAUUUUGAAAGUAGGUACUUGAUUCUGAAAUCUAUCUGUAGAUGCCUUGUAAGAUUCUUUAGCAGAUUGUAAUUGAAGCUUCAACGUAUUUUGAAGCUCUGAUAGUUGUUUCGUAAAUCCUUCAGCUACUGGAUUGUUAUUUGUUGACGGAUUCAAUAAAUCAAGCUUCAGAUGAUACCUAUAGUUGGAAAAGAAUGGUAUAUAUUGAGUCGACGCAUGGAGGGUGUUGUUAUAUGCAAACUCGGCUAGCGACAGAUAUGUGGUCCAAUCAUCUUGCUGAUAGUUGAUGCUGCAUUGUAAAUAUUGUUCCAAGACUUGGUUCACCCAUUUUGUUUGGCCGUCAGUUUGAGGAUGAAAAGCCAAAGAAAGCUUGAUAUCCACCUUCAGUAUCUCAAAGAGAGAUCUCCAAAACUUUGAUACGAACUGGGUUCCUCGAUCUGAUACGAUAUCAUCUGGUAGUCCAUGAUAUCGAUAUACAUUAUCGAGAAAGAGCCUUGCUGGGACUUCACUGGAUGAUGUCUUCUUACAAGGGACAAAGUGCGCCAUCUUUGUAAGCCAAUCUACCACGACAAAGAUGUUGUCAAAUGAGUUCGAUGAUGGCAGGUCCGUGAUGAAGUCCAUGAAAACUGAAGACCAUGGUCGACAUGGAAUCGACAAUGGCUGUAGGAGUCUAUAAGGGUGAUGCCAAAGAUUCUUGAAUCUUGAACAGAUGUCGCAGGAGAAGACAAAAUCUUUCACAUCCUUCUACAUUUGGGGCCACCAAAAAUCUCGAGAAAUAAGCUCCAAGGUCUUGUUGAAUCCAAAAUGUCCUAUAGCUAGAAAAUCGUGGCGAGAUUGAAGAACUUGGAGUCGUGCUGGUCCUUUAGGGAUAUACAAUCGCUCCUCAAAGUAUAAAAGAUCUCCUUCCACCUUGAAUUUGUUGUCAUUGGCAUGCUGCUUGAUAUCAAUGGCUAUUGAAUCUUCAAUGGUUACGGCACGUAUUUGAUUCAGGAAGUCAGCAUCAAUUGGCACAAUAGUAGCACAAAGCCAAAAUUGCUCUGGCUUCAAGAACAUCGUAUAUUGUUGAUCAAACGCUGCUUCUCCAGCCUUUGGUACAAGAUACGAUCUCCUCGAUAAGGCAUCAGAUAGUCCUUGUUGCUUUUCAGGUCGAUAAGUGAUAACAAAAUCGAACCUAGAUAGCAACAUAUUCCACCGAGCUUGACGUCGAUUUAGAACUCGAGUCGACAUGAAAUACUCCAAAUUCUUGUGAUCUAUGUAUACAGUCACUGGGUGUGCAGCUCCUUCAAGAAAAUGAUGCCAUUCUUGGAAAGAAUCCACUAUAGCAAGAAGUUUCUUAUUAUGGAUUUCGUAAUUACUUUCAGCAGCAGAGAACUUUUGAGAAUAGAAUGCAACCGGAUGGAGCUUCUUGUCUUCUCCCAUUUGUGAAAGUACAGCUCCCAAAGCAAAAUCCGAAGCAUCAGUUUCUAAAUAAAAAGCCUUUGUAAAGUCUGGAUGUAUCAAGAUUAGAGCCGUAGUAAAUACGAUCUUCAGGUCUUGAAAUGCCUUCUCCGCUAGAGGUCCCCAUUUCAGCUUAUCCUUGCAUGUCAACUGAGUGAGAGGAGCAGCAACUUGAGAGUAAUUCUUGAUGAAGAUCCGAUAGAAGUUGGCAAAACCAAGAAAGCAUUGUACGUCUCUAACCAUCUUUGGAACCUGCCAAGACACGAUUGCUUCAACCUUCUUGGGGUCCAUCUUCAAGCCUUCCGUAGUCGCAAUGAACCCUAAAAACUCCAUCUCUAUUUGGUGAAAUAAACACUUCUCCAACUUGGCAUAUAUUCCUCGCUCACGUAGUUUUUCCAAGACUAAACGAACGUACUUUUCAUGCUCUUCCUCAUUUUUGGAGAAUAUCAGAAUAUCAUCCAAAUAGAUGACAACAAAAUCAUCAAGGUGCUCUCAAAAAAUGUCAUUCAUCAUAUGUUGAAAGACCGCUGGAGCAUUGGUAAGACCAAAGAGUAUGACAUUAUACUCAAAAUGGCCAUACCUUGUACAAAAAGCUGUCUUCUAGUCAUCUCCUUCCUUGAUUUGUACGAGGUUAUAAGCUCCCCUUAGAUCAAUUUUUGUAAAGAUCCUUGUACAUCGAAGUUGUUCUAAGAGACCAGAAAUAAAGGGUAACGGGUAAUGAUUCUUCUUUGUUACCUUGUUGAGGCCUCGAUAGUCCACACACAUCCGCAAUGAGCCAUCUUUCUUCUUCACAAAUAAGAUGGGUGCUCCAGUUGACGAUUUUGAAUGAUGGAUGAAGUUCUUGGCUAGAUUCUUGUCGAUGUACUUCCGCAACUCCGCCAACUCCGUCUACGAUAGAUUGUAGAUUGGGCCAAAAGGCGGUUGUGCUCCUUCCUGUAAGUCUAUGGCACAAUCAUAUGGUUUGUGUUUCGGUAGCAUGUCGGCAUUCUUCUUUUGAAACACGUCUUUAAAAUCCUUAUAUUGCUUCGAUAUACUUGUUGUCGAGAUCUUCUCCCUGGUAGUUGGAGCCGCAUAAAUGACAAAUGGUGUACCUUUCUUGGACGAUCUUAUAAACACUCUUGCUCCAAUGAAUAAGGAUUUUUCUAUUUGGGGUUUUCUACUAGGCUUGCUCUUGGAUGGUUUUGUGGGAAAGGUCAUCUUCCGCAACUUCCAAUCUAUGAAUGGGUUAUGCUUUUUCAACCAAGAAAGAUCGAGAAUAACAGGAUUUGAUGGGAUUCUAAUAAUAUUGAAAAUAAUAUGACUACUAUGGCCCUUAAACGUCACUUCUAUAGGUUUUGAUUCAUGGGUGACACUACUAGACAAUAAAGGUCGCCUAUCUAUGACCUCAACGUGAACAGGUUUGGAUUUUUGUACUAAAGGGAUCUUAUGAUGCUUUAUAAAUUCUUCAUCUAAGAAACAAGCAGAUGCUCUUGAACCUAAAAAUACAAAGGUUCUCAGUUUUUGAGGGUCAAUAAGCGAAGGGAUUGUAAAGCAAAGGGCAGGUUAAGAGGAAAGAAAGGAACCUGGUUGUUGUUGCGAUAUUUCACUGUCCAGCCGCACGGUUCCUAUUGUGGCUGGGCAUCCUUGUUUUCCUGAACAAACGCACCUCUAGUCUUGACAAUAUGUCGGUUUUGCUUCUUGGGACAGUUUCCAACUUUGUGGCCUUCUUCACUGCAAUAUAAGCAUAGACCUUCUUCCAUAUGCCGCUUUUUUUCUUCUAGAGUAAGGGAUUUGAUAUGUACCACAUCAAUUUGCAUGUCUUCUACCUCUGAAUGUGAAUUCACUCUGCUUGUCGACAUAAUUGGGACGUGACAAACCGUAUGUUGUCUUGAACGUUGGUCUUAGCGGCGUUAGAAUAGGCGAUUAUCGCACUUCAUAGCUUGGCUAAUAGCUUCAUUGAGCGUUUGCGGAUCAGGAUGAGUUAACAACAAAUCCCUCACAUCGUCCCUUAAAUCCCAAUAGAAUUGACUCAUCAACGCUUCUUUAUUCCAAUUGAUGUCACAUGCUAAUUGCUUGAAGUCCGAUGCAUAGACUGAUAUAGAAUGCAUUCCUUGUCGUAGUGACUGGAUCUUUGUUGUAGCCCAUCGAACCUUGUCGUGUUCACCAAAUGCUUCCGCAAACGCCUCCAAAAAGGUUACAAAGUUGUUUAGUAUGGACAAUUGUUUCUCAAACAAAGGAGCAAACCAUGAUAGAGCUUGCCCUGUAAGUAAGGUCUAACAAGUCCAACAUGUGACUCUUCCAUUGGAUAGCGUUCAGGCUGUAAAACUAUUGUCAACCUGAUUUGGUUGACGAAUCCUCGAAACUUAGAAUACUAUCGUGAUGUAACACGAUUAAUAGGUAAAAGAGUGUGGAGAUUAUUAUAAUUUAAGAGAUCUUAGUUCAAAGUAUUAGAACAAAUUAUCUUAGAAAUAUAGUUAAUAGCCAAAGGGGUAGAAAAAUUAAAAGGUAUCAAUGCUGCCUUUUAGAAAGGUGACUUCUACUUACUUUGUAGUACCAUAAGUAAGGCAAAUCAAAAUAGAUUGGAAAAAUAAAUGAUAUAGGAAUCUUUAGAAGAAAGCUAAGAGUAAAUUCUAGAAAAAAUUUACUUAGAAAAGCUAGAUAUUGAUACCCGGAGAGGAUCGGUUAUGAACCAGGAUCGAAAUCAGACCCUGAGGUACAAAAUUGAGUCUCGACGACGACUCCGGGACUCUUUGGCACAUCGAAGAAUGGAGUUUGAUAGAAGAUUGAAUAGGGUUUCUAUGAGCAUUGAUUUUGGGUGAUUUGGAGUUGAUAUGAAUUUGAAAGAGCUUUGCAAAGUUGAGUUUUUUUUCGGAUGACUUGGGUUUUAUGAAAUAAAAUAGGGUUUAUGUUUUGAGUGAUUUCGAGAGUUUUGUUGCAGACCUAUAAGUGAAAUUUUUUGGGUUCAUGGUUAUAGUUGUGUUGAAUACAUGUUGUGAAUUUGAGCUUGAUCUAAUGGUUGAACUAAGAGAUAUUGAGGUUUAAGUGAGUCAAGGUCUCAGAAAGUAGAAUUUUAGGUUCAGUGAGGGUUUUUAAGAUUUCAUGCAAUCUACUAGUUGGAUUGGAGUAAAACUUGUGUGAGAGGAUAUUAGACUUGUUUUCCUAUGUCCAUAAGAAAUUUGAAACCAAUCGAACGGCAAUAAGAAGAGAAAUUGACUUUGGAAGGUUGGCAACAAGAUUGGAGAAGGAGGCCGGCUAACACCAAAACACAUUUUUGAGGUUUUCGUCAAUUUGGUAACUCCGAUCCUUUUCAAAAAAAUUUGCUUGUUUUGAACUUGAUUUUUAAGAUGUUUGCAAAUUUUGAAUUGAGAUCAACGGUUUAUUCAUUAGAUAUUGAGGUUUAAAUCUAUCAUAGGAAUUACUAGGAUUUGGAUUAGGGUUUGGCUAGGGUUCGGUUUAGGGUUUGGAUUAGGGUUUGGAUUAGGGUUUGGAUUAGGAUUUAGGAUUUGGAUUAGGGUUUGGAUUAGGAUUUAGGAUUUGGUUAGGAUUUGAUUUAGGAUUUGGAUUAGGGUUUGGAUUAGGAUUUAGGAUUUGGUUAGGAUUUGAUUUAAGAUUUGGUUUAGGGUUUAGAAUUUGGAAUAGGAUUUAAUUUAAGAUUUGUUUAGGAUUUGACUUAGGAUGUAGGAAUUAUUAGGGUUUAAGAUUUAAUUAGGUUUGGUCUAAAGUUGAGUGAAAUUCAAUAGGAUUUAAACUAGAAUUAAAUUAAGGUUGAAUUGACAUAUAUUUGAGUAAAAUUUGUGAUCAUUCUAAUAUUUCUUUAAGAAUUUUAUUGUUUUUUUGAAAUUUCUUUGAGUUUUUUUUAAUUUGAUUACAUUUGUUUACCAUUAUUAUAGUCUAAUUAGAGCAUUGUUAGUAUUCUAUUAGAAUUAGGAUUUUGUUAUCGCAAUUUCUAUUCUUCCUUCUACAGCUAGGUACCCGGAGCAUUCUCAAGUAAGACUUCACACAUUACGACAACGCGUACCAUCGAACUUGUCUGGAAGGCUAACUCGGGGCUCCUUAUAUUGUAGAACCAGCGGUGCUUGUCGAACCAGAGGCAAAGUUGCUUCUCCAAGUGCAGAAGUUUGAGGCUGGUACAACCUAGAUUGUGCCAUUCCAGAUGCUCCAUCAUUAUGAAGCCUUGCCAUGACUCCUUCAAUCUCUGCAGUUCUUUGCGAUAAUGUAGCUAGAGCAUUCAUGAUAGCAUUCAACUUAGACUCCGAACUUUUCGUCAUACUAAUGUCUUGGCCCUCGGUCAUUCUAAGAGAAGGACAGAAAUGACUACAAGAAGACAAUAUUGGUUUAGAGGAGGGUACUCCGCAACCUCUAAAAUGCCUUAAGAGCUUCAAGAAAAGGGGUAAUCCAUUCUCUCCAAGAAGAAUAAGACUCCAAUAUUGUAACAAAAGAAGUAUCAGUUUAGAGGAGGGUAAUCUGUAGCCUCUAAAAUACUAGUACACUUCCAAGCAAAGGGAUAAUCUACACUCUAACGAGGAAGAAACUAGCUCUAAUAUUUGAGAUGAGUGCAGUCUCGACAAACUGUAACGGACACAAAAAUACAGACUCGAGAUCUAACAAGAAGUUCAAGAAGAACUGACAAGAAUUAGAUUAAUCAGAUGAAUACAAGAACUACACCAGAGAGGUGAGCUAGAGCUCCAAGAG
rnacentral:lncRNA from 1 species